GGAGGGGUUCCCGAGUGGCCAAAGGGAACAGACUGUAAAUCUGUCGGCGUACGCCUUCGGAGGUUCAAAUCCUCCCCCCUCCA
rfam:Desulfomicrobium baculatum DSM 4028, complete genome.